AUUGAACGCUGGCGGCAGGCUUAACACAUGCAAGUCGAGCGGGGGAGGUUGCUUCGGUAACUGACCUAGCGGCGGACGGGUGAGUAAUGCUUAGGAAUCUGCCUAUUAGUGGGGGACAACAUUCCGAAAGGGAUGCUAAUACCGCAUACGCCCUACGGGGGAAAGCAGGGGAUCUUCGGACCUUGCGCUAAUAGAUGAGCCUAAGUCGGAUUAGCUAGUUGGUGGGGUAAAGGCCUACCAAGGCGACGAUCUGUAGCGGGUCUGAGAGGAUGAGCCGCCACAUUGGGACUGAGACACGGCCCAGACUCCUACGGGGGGCAGCAGUGGGGAAUAUUGGACAAUGGGCGGAAGCCUGAUCCAGCCAUGCCGCGUGUGUGAAGAAGGCCUUUUGGUUGUAAAGCGCUUUAAGCGAGGAGGAGGCUCUUAAGGUUAAUACCCUUGAUGAGUGGACGUUACUCGCAGAAUAAGCACCGGCUAACUCUGUGCCAGCCGCCGCGGUAACAC
rnacentral:rRNA from 1 species